AUGAUACAUGUUUGGAACUUAGACGUGUUAAAUAUCAUCAUCCCUUUCUCCAGUUUCAAUUUGUAUUAUUUGCCAACAAGAAUGCCUGAAUGCAGAUUCCUUGUAUUUUGUUUUUCUAAGGUUUUAUAGGACUGUUGAACAAUAAUUUCAAUCAUGAAAAGCAUCUUAAAUUGGUUUCUGAUAAGGCAUGUUAUCUCUUAUAAACCUCUUUGCUCCUGCACAUGUAUCAUGCCUUUCUUCCUAUGCUUCUGAUGUUCGUUUGUCAACAGGGACAAAAUGGAAUUGCUAAGG
rnacentral:misc_RNA from 1 species